GCUCGGCUUGCUGGCCUACUCCGUCUCUUCGUUGUCACCUACGACGCCGGCCUGCAGACUAGCAGUCUGCCGUCCUCUGCUUUUUCUUCUUCAGAUACCAGCAGGAAGUUGCAGCCGGUGGUGGUGUUCCUUGGCAAUGACGAGAGGAACAAAUGAUGGAUUCUUCAAGAAAAUCCUAGCUAAUAGUUAUAUAGAUAUGUACUUCCAAUACAAUUCAUGUAAUCUCACCAGAACUAAUUAAGAAUAUAGCCCCCUUUGCUCUGAUUGAUUUUUCAAGAGAAAAUGCUUUUUAUUUGGCCAAUCUGAAAUUAAAAAUCUAUGUUACUUUGGUUACCUGUCUUUUCUUCAUGAAUUAUAUGGUUUCCUCUUUUAAAAUGUUAUUAUCUUCGAUGCAGGUACAUUUCUGUUGGUAAUUGGAUAUGUAUGCAGCUUACAUGUCAUUGGGUUUGCAUUGCUCAAUGCCUUUUGACUUAUUUUGCUUCAGGCAGGGAGGCACACUGAAGGGAAGCAGCCGAGAGUCUUUAUAUUCAUCCUUGCAAAAAAAAGGUACACAUAUAUAAAAGUUGCUUCUUGGUUCUUGCCAUUGCUCAUGUCCACUAAAGCAAUACGAUCUUGGAUUCCUAGAGCUUAUAUAUAAUUCAUGAAAGACGCUCCCUCCUUUCUAAUUCUAAUUUGGCAUGCAGCCAAGAGAUGUAGAGUGCAAAUUUUAAUUUGUUUUGCUUGCAAGAGAUAUUUACUUGAUUUGAAACAAGUUAUUAUCUCAUUUCUCUCAAUUAGUGUAGUUGUGGUAGCAAUCAAAUCUACAAGAUAUGUGCAAGAGAUAUUUUGAAGCUGGAUUUCGCCUCCUCCAACUCCACAGUGCUCUUCAUCAUAAGAGAGGAGAUAUGGGUGGAGAAAAAAAUAGACUGGAUCAAGAGCAGAAGGUGAAUGAGAGGCUACAUUUUCUCCAUCUUUGGCCCCCUCUGUGUGCGCUUGCAAUUACUCACUCCUCCUUUUCUCCUAUUUGAGGGUGGACUCUUCAUCCUCCUCCCUAAUCACCGUGUUUUAGGCUGAAGGGCAUCGCGUUUGAGCUUGACGCCCUGUAGAUCUGGAUCCGGUAUUCUAGCUACUGUUUGUUCUCUUGUAUACAUGCAUUGUUAUUAAACAUACAUUAUUAUGCAGUUUGUUUUGUGGGAAGCAUGUCUUUUAGUCUCAUAUUAUCCACAGUCAGCAAGUGGAUUUUGUUGGUCACUACUUGCUUUCGCUUACUACAUUUAGAGGCUAUGUAUAUAUAGGUGAAGCGAUUAUUUUCUCUGCCAAGAUGGUCAGAGGAUGCUUAGUUAAUAUCUGCCUCGCUAUGUGUUGAGUUUUGUUGUUGCCAACUAGCUAAUGUAGCCAUGUUUUCCUGAUGGUUGUUGCUCUAUCUGCGCAAUUUUCCUACAAUGCUUGAUUCUGCUCAUCAGGGUCCUUUACUUGGUAUAAC